rnacentral:rRNA from 1 species
AUUGAACGCUGGCGGCAUGCCUUACACAUGCAAGUCGAACGGCAGCACGGGUGCUUGCACCUGGUGGCGAGUGGCGAACGGGUGAGUAAUACAUCGGAACAUGUCCUGUAGUGGGGGAUAGCCCGGCGAAAGCCGGAUUAAUACCGCAUACGAUCUAUGGAUGAAAGCGGGGGACCUUCGGGCCUCGCGCUAUAGGGUUGGCCGAUGGCUGAUUAGCUAGUUGGUGGGGUAAAGGCCUACCAAGGCGACGAUCAGUAGCUGGUCUGAGAGGACGACCAGCCACACUGGGACUGAGACACGGCCCAGACUCCUACGGGAGGCAGCAGUGGGGAAUUUUGGACAAUGGGCGAAAGCCUGAUCCAGCAAUGCCGCGUGUGUGAAGAAGGCCUUCGGGUUGUAAAGCACUUUUGUCCGGAAAGAAAUCCUUGGUUCUAAUAUAGCCGGGGGAUGACGGUACCGGAAGAAUAAGCACCGGCUAACUACGUGCCAGCAGCCGCGGUAAUACGUAGGGUGCGAGCGUUAAUCGGAAUUACUGGGCGUAAAGCGUGCGCAGGCGGUUUGCUAAGACCGAUGUGAAAUCCCCGGGCUCAACCUGGGAACUGCAUUGGUGACUGGCAGGCUAGAGUAUGGCAGAGGGGGGUAGAAUUCCACGUGUAGCAGUGAAAUGCGUAGAGAUGUGGAGGAAUACCGAUGGCGAAGGCAGCCCCCUGGGCCAAUACUGACGCUCAUGCACGAAAGCGUGGGGAGCAAACAGG